GAUGUGCUUCAUUUUGGCUCGGAAAUUAAACAAACUACUAUUGUCGUGGAAUCUGGAUAACUAUUAGUGUCCCUGCAUGCUCUAAAUUACCUGCUGUUGCUCCACUCCAACGAUUGAAAAUCUUGCUUCAGGUUUGAAUUGUCCUAAGUUCUUUUUAACGUUUCAAUUCAACAGUGUAUUCCUUUAUAUAACAAGUAAACAACAUGUUAUGUGCUCAAAUCAACAGUGUAUGCCUUUUGCUACUAUGUUACUGCUCAAAUUAGAUUUCCUGCAUAACCAUUUAUUUUCAAGUGCAGAUUAUCAUCAUAUAUGCUCUAAAUUACUUCAUUUCUGAUUUGCACAGGUCACGUGCUGCUGUUGCUCCACUCGAACGAUUGAAAAUCUUGCUUCAGGUUUGAAUUUUCCUAGGUUCUUUUUAACGUUUCAAUUCAACAGUGUAUUCCUUUAUAUAACAAGUAAACAACCUGUUAUGUGCUCAAAUUAGAUUUCGUGUUAUGUGCUCAAAUCAACCGUGUAUGCCUUUUGCUACUAUGUUACUGCUCAAAUUAGAUUUCCUACAUAAUCAUUUAUUUUCAAGUGGAGAUUAUCAUCAUAUUCUGUAAAACUUGUUUUUCUCAAACCUGUGUAUCACCGAUAUUAAACAUUAUCUUGGUCGUAUCACCGAAAGGUCUAUAAAGUAGAAUUUGUGAACUUAUAACAUCAUGCUCUCCGUGACUAUGUUUGAUUUUAGAAACUUUGCUUCUUUAAUAUAAAUAUCACUUUAUAGCUGGUAUUUAAGUUUUAUUAUAAUAUUAUUAUCU
rnacentral:lncRNA from 1 species